CCCUCAGCAGUGCCAACCGCCCCUCCGCGCCGCUGCCCCUGGGUCCGGCACCCGCCCUUUCCCGGGUAAGGAUUUUUCCCCGCGUCCCGCCCCACAACUCCGGCGGCACAGAGGGUGGGCCGAGGAGGGGCACGCCCGGUUCGGUCCCGCCCGGGUCAGAAGGGUUCCGGAGGAGUCCUGCGCUGGCUUCCUUAGCCAUCUGCGGAGGCUUCUCCCCAGCUCGCUGCUGGGGGACGCUCGGUCCUCGGAGCCCGCGGGCGUGCGCCGCGCUUCUGCUCCAACUUUCAGUCGGAGGACAGCAGAGGGGCUCUGGAGGCCACGGUAGAUAUAAACCAGAGCAUCCAUAGAAGAGACAACUGAGAAACAAUGGAUCAGAACAGAGGGGCAGAGAGCUGGACCUUCUUCCAACAUGAUGCAGAGCUGUUCCCAUGACAGGAGAGAUGGAGCAGCCUUGCCUCUUCCCACCAACCAGUCAGCUUCUUCCACCAGCAUGACUUUUCUUACCUCAUGGUCUGUGUACACAAAGGCCCCACAGUGAUCUGGUGGCAGCUGCACCUUCUAGUUCCACGGAACACCUACUGCACUUGCUGGGCAGACAUAGGAGGAAGUCGGGGCUGCAGACUGAUACAAGCAUGCUGAGACCCAGGAGUGUUAGCAGGGGGCAUCUCUUCCGGCCACAUGUCAGCGUCCUCUGUCCUGCUCAAGAUCAGGACCAGAUGAAGCGUUUACUUCUAACAAAGAGUGUUGCUGGGCCCAUCUGAUCUGGACACUCUGCAACUUUGAUGAAGCCCAGCUGACAUGGGAAGUCCCAGACACAUAGAUAGUCACCUCUUUCUGGUGGUUAUGUGCUCCAUAUCUCCCCGGGCCCAAUACAAGCUAUGUCUUUACAACUGUCAGUGUGCUGCUUAGGCAACGUGGCUUUGUCUAGAAUCCCAAGGGUGCAUGUUCUGAGUAUCCCACAGAGACUUCCAUAAGCUUUGUGCUGCAACUUUAUCCCCCCGACACCUGCUGCUCUACAGAGUCAGCCUGGUGCUUUCUCUCUGCCCACCAGCACUGAUUGCACCCAACCCUGGCAUACCUGCAGUGCCCUCUCCUGUCAGCCCUACCUGGUGCUGGCAGCUCUGCAUGUCACAAGGCAUGUGAGCUAGAGCAAUACUCCCGAGUGUGAAAUGCAUUUCCCAUGGACCCCAAGAACCCCGCUAGACGAUGUGCUCUUCAUCUACUGGGUUAGAAAUGUGCUGUCAGUGCAGAGAAGGUGUCCUGCAAGCCCGUGACAUCACUAAAGUGGGUCCCCACAUCUUCACAUCUGCUGGGGCAGAGAGGUCUCCUCAAGGAUCCAGUACCCAAUGUAUCUUUUGCUCACCCUGUCCAGCUGCAAUGAUGCUGUCAGGGCAAUGGGUUAAUGACUGGCAGACACAAGGGUCCAGAUAUCCAUGGUUUAUGGAGCCUACUGACUGGGGCCAAGACCACGCUGUAUGUGAGUGGAUAUGGUUGUUUAUCUCACCCAAAUAUUUAUGUGUGUGUUCAUAUGCAUGUGCAGCCAUGUGUGUAUUUUAACCAUCAUGUAAAAUCGACUGAAGAUGUAACAUCUGACACAGCAGGAGAAUCCCUGCUUCCUUGGGGACUUGUAGCUUUACCUCUCUGUGUUGCCACGCUGCUUCCCAAACUGGUUGUACCAUUGGGCAAGUUGCAUCUGAGGUCAGAAGGCCUCUCAGCUUUCUGAAGCAAGAGGCCAUCCCAGAAACUUGUCCUUGUUCAACUCAUUUAGGGGUGACAUAGUCCUGGCUUGAUUUCACAGCCUCACAGUUGGUAUUUUGUUUUGCAGAGAAAUCCUCCUCUUUAUGGCUCACCAUUUAAUUUCCCUGCUGUCAAGAGCCAGAAUUAAGUUAUUCCUCUUUUUAAAAGAAUGAUAUAAGCAGGGAAUAAUGAAUGCAAAAUGCUGUAGUUAAACAUCAGCAGACAAACUGAUGGAUCGGCUGUCACUUAGAUUAUGCUAUAAAUGGAAAGAAAGUGAUAUUUAAUCAUUUGCAAAAAAUAAAAACAGUGGU